UGUUUCCCAAGGAAAAUUCCAGCAACUAUUCCUGUAGAAUUAUCUCUAAGACAAACUCAGCCCAAGGGAGUCAGACUUCCCUUUGCGUCAGCUCUUCUUUGUCACUGCAGAAGGAAACUGGGAGGUCACCCCAGCUCUCCGCCCCUUACCUCAGACAGUCAGAUCGCAUCAUAAUUGAGCUGAUUUCGGUUCUCUACAGCACCAGGCCACAGCCAAGAAUUCCAUGUGAACACACACUCUCCACGAGACACCCAGUCCUGACCAGCAAGGUGGGAUUUUCCUCAUAGGAGUGUCCUAUCUCAUGCUCAACUGGAUACGCCCAGGACAAACACCUGGCCCUUCAUCAGUGGCUUCUCCUUUCAGAUCCUCGAGUUUUCAUAAUAGCAGAUGGACAGCUUUUCCUCUUCAGUUUAUCAGCGCUGACCAUGUCUGCAGACCCACCUUGAUUAGACAUCUCAGAUCCUCACCAAAGCGACCUCGCGGUUCCUGGUUUCCUCCUGCACUAUGUGUGACCCAAGACACCUCAGCGACACGCCAGCACUGCCUGUCAAGUCACCGCUCCUUCUCUGUCAGGACUGAGACUUAGGAGCUGAGAUUUACUCAUGGAAAGUCUUGCAGAAACUGGAUGCGAGAUUUUAUUAUCUAUCUCUUUCCUUCCUCACCUUCACCCCGAGCAGCUGGAGGUCACUGGGAGUUUCCGAACCAAGAUUCCUUGGUUUUUAAAACACAUCUCACCGGAGUCGUAGACCUCCAUAACUUGCUGUUUAACUGAUCUUUUUCUGAGGAAUUCAGCAAUGACACAAAACGAUUUUCCUCCAUUAAAUAUACAACAUUAAAAUAGCAAUUACUUCAAAAAUGUGCUUAAUAGAUAGCAUGGAUUCCCAAGACAUCUGAACAGUUGUUUUCUUGAAUUUCCACAGAAGUUUUCAGUUAGAAAAAUAAUUUGAGAAAAUCAUAGUCAUCGUUGCCAGUUUUAUAAAAGUCACUAAUACAUUUAACACAGGCCAAGACUCUUUACCAGUGAGCCCCUAAUUGUGUUUGGCAGAAAGAGCGACGCUGUGGCUCUAGUUAGCAGGAUCUGUUCUGAAGAAGACAUUGAGCUACAAAAACACUGCUGAAGAAGAAAUUCUCUCCUGACAUGAACUGACUCACCCAAUAUGAGGCCAUUCUCCUAAAAAGUCACUAAACCAAAACAAUUUCUACUAAUAUAUUGAAAAUACAUGACGUUUAUAUUCAUAUAAUAAAUGUAAUCCAAAGCACCAGCUCUUCCUUGAGAACCAUCAUUCCUGGUUCACAUGUCCAGGAUGGUGAUGAUGAUGAUGAUGUGUGUAUGUGUGUUACAAAAUAGGAUCUUUUCUGGAUGUGGUAGCACACACCUGUAAUCUCAGCACUAGGGAGGCUGAGGCAGGUGAAUUGUCACAAUUUCUACACCAGCCUGGGCUACAGUUCAAGGCCAGCCUGAACUACCUAGUGAGACUCUGUUUCAAAAAACAAAGCAAAACACAAAAUGGGCUCUUCACCCAAAAUGAAUGGAGAAAGCAGCUGUUACAGAAGUUAGCCAGUCAGUGCCAGAUUCUACGAAGAGCAAGCAGGAGUGCACUUAGCCACCUCUAGGUCUGGAAGAGAAGAUGCAGAUGGUGAAGGAGACAGCAACACCAGCUACUGGAAAGACUGGGGUGCCAUGGGACCUGGCAAAGAGGGAAGGGGAAAGCCAGGGGUCUCUGACACAAGUAGAAGCCAGGAGAGCCAUUCUCGGAGCAGAGGUGGCGUGGCCUUUCCGCUGCAGGUCAGAAUCGGACUGAGGGGGAGCCAGGCCUCGGUGUGCUGGUGGGCACAAGGGCCCUGAGCCUGGAGAGGCAGAAACACAGAGCCCGCACAGCCUGCAGGGAGUCACAGUGGCCAGGCUGUGUGCCUCGGCCCUGAGCUCAGCUCACCCAUGGUGUAACCUCGAAUUUCAACCUCCCCAAGCUUAAUUCCUUUUCUAUAAAAUGUGGAUCAUCUCACUACCAACUCAAUAUAGCACUGUGAACUGUGAGGGUGAUACAGGUAAACGUCAUGUAAAAUCUUACGAGACACAUCAUAAGCUCUGUGCA
rnacentral:lncRNA from 1 species